UGGGGAAUUUUGGACAAUGGGCGAAAGCCUGAUCCAGCAAUGCCGCGUGUGUGAAGAAGGCCUUCGGGUUGUAAAGCACUUUUGUCCGGAAAGAAAUCCUUGGCUCUAAUACAGUCGGGGGAUGACGGUACCGGAAGAAUAAGCACCGGCUAACUACGUGCCAGCAGCCGCGGUAAUACGUAGGGUGCAAGCGUUAAUCGGAAUUACUGGGCGUAAAGCGUGCGCAGGCGGUUUGCUAAGACCGAUGUGAAAUCCCCGGGCUCAACCUGGGAACUGCAUUGGUGACUGGCAGGCUAGAGUAUGGCAGAGGGGGGUAGAAUUCCACGUGUAGCAGUGAAAUGCGUAGAGAUGUGGAGGAAUACCGAUGGCGAAGGCAGCCCCCUGGGCCAAUACUGACGCUCAUGCACGAAAAGCGUGGGGAGCAAACAGGAUUAGAUACCCUGGUAGUCCACGCCCUAAAACGAUGUCAACUAGUUGUUGGGGAUUCAUUUCCUUAGUAACGUAGCUAACGCGUGAAGUUGACCGCCUGGGGAGUACGUCGCAAGAUUAAAACUCAAAUGAAUUG
rnacentral:rRNA from 1 species